rnacentral:lncRNA from 1 species
GAGGCGCGCGCGCGUCGCGGCGGACAGAUGCGCGGCGCGUCGCCGUCCGUUCACCUGCGGCUGUUCUGUCUGUUGCGUGUCGUGUCGCGCGCUUAGAGACGUCGUUAAACUUUCAGUCAUCAUCGCUUCAAUUGCGGGUCUCGCGCCUCUUCUUUUUGAUACGCGCCCGAGCCCUUCGCCUUUUUUUAUUUAUCUUUUGUAGUAUAAUUUUUUUUUUUGGGGGGGAAGGCAAGUGCGCGCGUGCGUGAGCCAGCCUGCGUGUGUGGGUGUGUGUGUGAGAGUGUGGGAGUGUGUGUGUAUGCGUGAGAGAGAGGGAUAGAGAGAGAGGGAGAGAGAUGUGCAGGUGCAGGUGGUGUUGGUGGUGGUGCUGAUGAUGAUGGUAGUGCUGAUGAUAAUGAUGAGAGAUCCUGUUGAACGGAGACGCCGCGCGCACAGGCAGCAGCAGCAUCAGCAUCAGCAGCAUCAUCCCUAUCAUCCCUCGAAGGCGCGCACGAGCCCAGUCUGAAGGGUGGUGAGAUGCUCUGCGGGGGGCGCGGCUGCUGUUGCUUUCCCAGGGAUUUCGGGCGCGAGGGCUCCGUCACGAGCCCCCCCAUCACCCCAACAUCUUCCGGGAACUGGGCUGGAGGUGGAAGCUGCUGAGGAGGAGCCGUCCUCAUCCUUCUUUGGCGCGCGCUUCAUCUGUUGCUGGCGUCUAAAGAACCCAGUGAUUCAUUCACAGCCACUGGAGGGGCAGAGGAGAGCGCGCGGCAACCACCCCCCCACCCCCAACACAGCAACCCAACCCAACGCGCACAACACAUGCACACACCUCCCUCAGCGGAGAAAGGAUGAUAAUGAUGAUGAUGGCAACCACAGAUCUCUAACCGGGGGACUGGUCUGGACGUCUCGCCCUCCCUCGUGCACGUGCGCAAUCUCAGGUGACUGUGAGAGGGACAUUGGCUGGAGCAGAAGUGGAGUAAAGGAGGGGUUCAGACAUUUUCUUGCUCUUUUUGAUCUUAUGGAGGGAGUGCGUGCGUGCGCGCGUAUUCGGACACAUACCGACCCCCUCGUGGACUUACCACACCGUUUCCAAGACUUUGAACAUGCAAGAGCGCGCGCGCCACUGUAAAGUCUGCGCUUUGUGACUUUUUUUUAAAAAAAGAGAGCCCACCACAACAAACAGCGCGCGCGCGUUCCUGUGGAUCCCUUAAUGCGCUCGGGAACCUCGCAGCGGCCAACUCUCCAAAGACUGCGCUGAUCCACGAUCA